AUAUUGCACAAUGGGCGCAAGCCUGAUGCAGCAACGCCGCGUGAGGGACGACGGCCUNNNGGUUGNACACCUCUUUUAGUAGGNAAGNAGCGAAAGUGACGGUACCUGCAGAAAAAGCACCGGCUAACUACGUGCCAGCAGCCGCGGUAAUACGUAGGGUGCAAGCGUUGUUCGGAAUUAUUGGGCGUAAAGAGCUCGUAGGCGGUUUGUCGCGUCUGCUGUGAAACCCCGAGGCUCAACCUCGGGCCUGCAGUGGGUACGGGCAGACUAGAGUGCGGUAGGGGAGAUUGGAAUUCCUGGUGUAGCGGUGGAAUGCGCAGAUAUCAGGAGGAACACCGAUGGCGAAGGCAGAUCUCUGGGCCGUAACUGACGCUGAGGAGCGAAAGCAUGGGGAGCGAACA
rnacentral:rRNA from 1 species